UUCGGGCCCCUACUUUGGGUCCCGUGUGGUUCCCCCAUGUCUUUUUGGGAUGCUACCUGAUUGAUCCUGCCAGUAGUCAUAUGCUCGUCUCAAAGAUUAAGCCAUGCAUGUGUAAGUAUGAACUAAUUCAGACUGUGAAACUGCGAAUGGCUCAUUAAAUCAGUUAUAGUUUGUUUGAUGGCACCUGCUACUCGGAUAACCAUAGUAAUUGUAAAGCUAAUACGUGCAAGAAAUCUCGACCUCUGGAAGGGAUGCAUUUAUUAGAUAAAAGGCCAGAGCGGGCUUUGCCCGAUGCUUUGGUGAAUCAUGAAAGCUCGACCGAUCGCAUGACCAUUGUGCUGGUGAUGCAUCAUUUAAAUUUAUGCCCUAUCAACUUUCGAUGGUAGGAUAGGGGCCUUCCAUCGUGGUGACGGGUGACAGAGAAUUAGGGUUCGAUUCUGAAGAGGGAGCCUGAGAAACGGCUACCACAUCCAAGGAAGGCAGCAGGCUCGCAAAUUACCUAAUCCUGACACGGGGAGGUAGUGACAAUAAAUAACAAUAUCGGGCUCCAAGAGUUUGGUAAUUGGAAUGAGUACAAUCUAAAACCCUUAAGGAGGAUCCAAUGGAGGGCAAGUCUAGUGUCAGUAGCCGCGGUAAUUCUAGCUCCAAUAGCACAUAUUUAAGUUGUUGCAGUUAAAAUGCUCGUAGUUGGUUCUUGGGCUGGGCCGACCGGUUUGCCUUCAUGGUGUGCACCGGCCUUCCCGUCCCUUCACUAGGCGAUGCGUUCCUGGCCUUAACUGGCCGGGCCGUGCCUCCGGCACCGUUACUUUGAAAAAAUUAGAGUAUUCAAAGAAAGCCUACGCUCUGAAUACGUUAGCAUGGGAUAACAUCACAAGAUUUCGGUUCCAUUGUGUUGACCUUCAGAAUCAAAGUAAUGAUUAAGACGGGCAGUCGGGGUCAUUUGUAUUUCAUAGUAAGAGGUGAAAUUCUUGGAUUUAUGAAACACGAACCAUUGCAAAAGCAUUUGCCAAUGAUGUUUUCGUUAAUCAAGAACGAAAGUUGGGGGCUCGAAGACAAUCAGAUACCGUCCUAGUCUCAACCAUAAACGAUGCCGACUAGGGAUCGGCGGAUGUUGCUCAUAAGACUCCGUCGACACCUUAUGAGAAAUCAAAGUCUUUGGGUUCGGGGGGGAGUAUGAUUGCAAGGCUGAAACUUAAAGGAAUUGACGAAAGGGGACCACCAGGAGUGGAGCCUGCGGCUUAAUUUGACUCAACACGGGGAAACUUACUAGGUCCAGACAUAGUAAGGAUUGAUCGACAGAGAGCUCUUUCUUGAUUCUAUGGGUGGUGGUGCAUGGCCGUUCUUAGUUGGUGGAGCGAUUUGUCUGGUUAAUUUUGUUAACAAACGAGACCUCAACCUGCUAACUAGCUACGCGGAGGUAUCCUCCACGACCAGCUUCUUAGAGGGACUAUGGCUUUUUAGGCCACGAAAGUUUGAGGCAAUAACAGGUCUAUGAUGCCCUUAGAUGUUCUGGGCAGCACGUGUGCUACACUGAUGUAUUCAACGAGUAUAUAGCAUUGGCCGACAGGCCCGGGUAAUCUGUCGAAAUUUCAUCGUGAUGGGGAUAAAUCAUUGCAAUUAUUGGUCUUCAACAAGGAAUUCCUAGUAGGCGCGAGUCAUCAGCUCGCGUUGACUACGUCCCUGCCCUUUGUACACACCGCCCGUCGCUCCUACCGAUUGAAUGGUCCCGUGAAGUGUUGGGAUCACGGCGAUGGAGGCAGUCCGCAGCUAGCGACGUUGUGAGAAGUGCACUGAACCUUAUCAUUUAGAGGAAGGAGGAGUCAUAACAAGGUUUCCAUCGGUGAAUCUACGGAAGGAUCAUUGAAGGAUGCCCCAGCAAACGGACUGGCGAACAUGUGGUGGUGGAGAGCCUCGCGUGGCCCCCACCUUUGAGGUUCAUAAGAGGCUCCUCCCACCAAAAUGAUACACAAAACCCCGGCGUGUCAAGCGUCAAGGAAAUGGAUCAUGGUGGAAAUGUUGUGGGGGGUGCACCACGUAGGGGGACGCUCGGUCCUCUUGCAGCGCGCCCCACCACUCCGAUCACGUACUGUCAAACACAACUCUCGACAACAGAUAUCUUGGCUCUCGCCAUGAUGAAGAACAUAGCAAAAUGUGAUACUUGGUGUGAAUUGCAAAAUCCCGUGAAUCAUCGAGUCUUUGAACGCAAGUUACGCCCGAGGCUGAGGGCACGCCUGCCUAGGCGUCAUGCCAAACGCCUCCUGCGCCUUACCCCUACAUGGACCAGUGCAACAGCUCGGGGUGCAAGAUGGCCACCCAUUCCCCUCCCCUCGCGUUGGUGGUGCGGUAGCCUCAAACCCAAGCCCACAGCUUACGGGUGACAUGACGAUCGGUGGCCCCCACAGUGUGUCGCUGUCGCACCGCGGCUUAGGUGGGCCCCCAGGAAACCCACGGACCCUCGUUCCACGUAAAUAUUCCGUACUGAGUUAAAGCAUAUCAAUAAGCGAAGGAAAAGAAACUUACCAGGAUUCCCCUAGUAACGACGAGCGAACCAGAACUGCCCAGCAUGGGAAUCAGGCGGCCCCGCUGCUCGAAUUGUAGUCUGUAGAAGCGUCCUCAGCGACGGAUUGGGCACAAGUCCCCUGGAAGCAGGCGCCAGAGAGGGUGAGAGCCCCGUCGUGCCCGGACCCUACCGCACCACGAGGCACUGUAGGCAAGUAGGGUUGUUUGGGAAUGCAUCCCUAAUUGGGCUGUAAAUUCCGUCCAAGGCUAAAUACUGGCGAGAGACAGAUAACGAACAAGUACCGCUUGGGAAAGAUGAAAAGGACUUUGAAAAGAGAGUCAAAGAGUGCUUGAAAUUUUUGGGAGGGAAGCGGUUGGGGGUUGGCAAGCACAGGUAAACGGCGGGAGUAACUAUGACUCUCUUAAGGUAGCCAAAUGCCUCGUCAUCUAAUUAGUGUUGCGCAUGAAUGGAUUAACGAGAUUCCCACUGUCCCUGUCUACUAUCCAACGAAACCAUAGCCAAGGGAACGGCCAUGGCAGAAACAGCGGGGAAAGAAGACCCUGUUGAGCUUGACUCUAGUCUGACUUUGUGAAAUGACUUGAGAGGUGUAGGAUAAGUGGGAGCCGCCCCUGGUGGCGCAAGUGAAAUACCAUUACUUUUGAUGUUAUUUUACUUAUUUUGUGAGUCAGAGGUGGGGCAUUGUCCCUCGGUUUGGCUCCAACUCUUGCCCUAGACGGGCCGAUCAUGGCUGAAGACAUUGUCAGGUGGGGAGUUUGGCUGGUGCGACUCUACUGUUAAAAGAUAACGCAGGUGUCCUAAGAUGAGCUCAAUGAGAACAGAAAUCUUGUGUGGAAAAAAAGGGUAAAAGCUUGUUUGAUUUUGAUUUUCAGUACGAAUACGAACUGUGAAAGCGAGCAUAUAAAAAUCGGUCGUGCACACACGCGCAUGCACGCGGGCGAUGCACAAUGCGCACACGGCACAUGACACUUAGCCACCGCGAUGGGUUCACCAAGCUCCAGCCUGCCCACCACCCGUUGUACAUUGAGGUGGUAUGGGUCGUGAUGGGGUCAAAUAUAUGGUAGUUUGACCCCCAACAGGUGUCACUCAAGAACUCCAGGUGUUUUAAGCCAUCAAACAUACUUGGAAAGGAUGGGCACCUGGGUGAGACGAGGCUGAGGUACGUGAUUUGGGUUAGGCGUGCUACCAAUGUGUGGGUUUGACCUGCUCUGGCUGACUUGUAGACCCUCAAUGCGUUCUGCCUAGUCGUACACAUCGGUGCUUGCCACCCAUGCCACGUGGUUGUGCCCAACCUGCUCAACCCGUAGGCACUCGCAGCGUCGUGCCUAGACACGCUACUCAUUGUGCACCAGGCUCAUAUUGCAUGGGUGUGCCUUUUCCGGGAAGACCCGUGGACACUCGAUACAAUGUGCUUAGGUGCACACCUCGGUGCUCACCACACAUACCGUAGGGGUUUUCCCAGCUCGCGCAACCUGUAGGCAAUUGUUGCACUGUGCCUAGGCACACACCUUGUUGCACAUUAGGCACACUGCGUAGGCAUCCCUAGCUCGGCGACCGAUAGACCCUCACGAUGCUGGGUAUCUAGGUGCAAACCUCGGUGCCCGCCAGGAGCCCUAAACCCAUGCUGUGUGGGUGUGCCUAGCUCGUUCAUCCCACAGGCCCUCGAGGCCCCCUGGCUUCAACUGUGCGUGUGGUGGUGAUGCACCCAAGGAUGCAACGCUGUGCAUUGAGAUGGUAUGGGUUGCGAUGGGGUCAAAUAUAUGCUAGUUUGACCCCGAACAAGUGUCACUCAGGAAGUUCAAGUGUUUUAAGCCAUCAAACAUACUUGGGAAGGAUGGGCACCUGACUGGGACGAGGCUGAGGUACGUGAUUUGGGCAAGACAUGCCGUCAAUGGGUGGGUGUGCCUUACUCUGGCUGACCCGUAGACCCUCGAUGUGCUCUGCCUAGUCACACACCUCGGUGCUUACCACCUAAGCCACGUGGUUGUUCCUAAUAGGCACUCGCAACGCCGUGCUUAGGUGCCUUUCCUGGGAAGACCCGUGGACACUCGAUGCGUUGUUUCUAGGCGCACACCUCAAAGCUCACCACACAUACCGCGUGGGUUUUCCCAGCUCGUGUAACCUGUAGGCAAUUGUUGCACAGUGCCUAGGCGCAGACCUUGGUGCACACCAGGCAUACUGUGCGGGUGUCCCUAGCUUGAUGACGGGCAGGCCCUUGCGAUGCCGUGUACCUAGGUGCACACCUCAGUGUCCACCAGGCAAACUGCGUAGGUGAGACAUGCUCGGGCAACCCGUAGGCCAUCGUGGUGCCAUGUGCUUAGGCACACACCAUGGAGCCCUCAACCCUUACUGCGUGGGUGUGCCUAGUUCGUUCAUCCCACCGACCCUCGAGGCCCCCUGCCUUCAACUGUGCGUGUGGUGGUGAUGCACCCAAGGAUGCAUAGUUGUGCAUUGAGGUGGUAUGGGUCGUGAUGGGGUCAAAUAUAUGCUAGUUUGACCCCCAACAAGUGUCACUCAGGAACUUCAGGUGUUUUAAGCUAUCAAACAUACUUAGAAUGGUUGGGCAUCUGGGUGGGACGAGGCUGAGGUACUGAUUUGGGCUAGGCGUGCUGCCAAUGCAUGGGGGUGACCUGCCCUGGCUGACCCGUAGACCCCCGAUGUGCUCUACCUUGUUGCACACCUCGCUGCUCGCCACCCUUGUCGUGUUGUUGUACCCAGCUCAUUCAACCCGUAGGCAUUUGCAGCACAUUGCCUCGGUGUGCAACCUGUUGCCCACCAGGCUCAUACUACGUGGGUUUGCCUUUCCUGGGAUGACCCGUGGCCACUGGAUGCGCUGUACCUAGGCGCACACCUCUGUGCUCACCACCCAUACCACGUGGGUGUUCGUAGCUCGUGCGACCUGUAGGCAAUUGUUGCACUGUUCCUAAGCACACACAUUAGUGCACACCAAGCGUACUAUGUGGGUGUCCCUAUCUCGACGAUCGGCAAGCCCUCGCGAUGCUUCCUAGGUGCACACCUCGGUGCCUACUAGGCAAACUGCGUGGGUAUGCCUUGCUCGGCCAACCCGUAGGCCAUCGCGGCGACGUGUGCCUAGGUGCACAACCUGGAGCCCUAAACCCUUGCUGCGUGGGCGCCUAGCUCGUUCAUCCCACUGGCCCUCGAGGCCCCUAGCCUUCAAUCGUGGGUGUGGUGGUGAUGCCCCCAAGGAUGCAAUGUCGUGCAUUGAGAUGGUAAGGGUCGUGAUGGGUCAAAUAUAUGCUAGUUUGACCCCCAACAGGUGUCACUGAGGAAGUCUAGGUGUUUUAAGCCAUCAAACAUACUAGGGAAGGAUGGGUACCUGGUUGGGACGAAGCUGAGGUACAUGAUUUGGGCUAGGGGUGCUGCCAAUGCGUGGGUGUGGCCUGCUCUGGCUGACCCAUAGACCUCUGAUGCUCUCUACCCAGUUGCACACCUUGUUGCUUGCAUGCCACAUUGUUGUGCUCAGCUCGUUGAACCCGUAGGCACUCGCAGGGUCGUGCCUAGGCGCGCAACUCGUUGCCCACCAGGCUCAUACUGCAUGGGUGUGCCUUUCCUGGGAUGACCCGUGAGCUCUCGAUGUGUUGUGCCUAAGCGCACACCUCAGUGCUCACGACCCAUACCGCAUGGGUGUUCCCAGCUCGUGCAACCUGUUGGAAUUGUUGCAUUGUGCCUAGGCACACAUGUUGGUGCACACAAGGCAUACUACGUGGGUGUCCCUAUCUCGACGAUUGGCAGACCCUCGCGAUGGCAUGUACCUAGGUGCACACCUCAAUGCCCAACAGGCAAACUGCGUGGGUGUGCCUUGCUCGGGCAACCAAUAGGCCAUCGCGGUGCCGUGUGCCUAGGCGCACACCAUGGAGCCCUAAACCCAUGCUACGUGGGUGUGCUUAGCUCGUUCAUCCCACCGGCCCUCAAGGCCCCCUGCCUUCAACUGUGCGUGUGGUGGUGAUGCACCCAAGGAUGCAAUGUUGUGCAUUGAGAUGUUAUUGGUCGUGAUGGGGUCAAAUAUAUGAUAGUUUGACCCCUAACACGUGUCACUCAGGAAGUCCAGAUGUUUGAAGUGAUAAAAAAUACUUGAGAAGGAUGGGGCACCUGGGUGAGACGAGGCUGAGGUACGUGAUUUGGCCUAGGGAUGCUGCCAAUGCGUGGGUUUGACCUGCUCUGACGGAGUGGUAGACCCCUGAUGUGCUCUUCCUAGUCGCACACCUCAUUGCUCGCCACCCAUGCCGCGUUGUUGUGCCCAUCUCGUUCAACCCGUAAGCACUCGUGGCUUCGUGCUUUGGCACGCAACCCGUUGCCCACUAGGCUCAUACUGCAUGGGUGUGCCUUUCUUGGGAUGACCCGUGGGCACUCGAUGAACUGUGCCUAGACGCACCCCUCAGUGCUCACCACUCAUACCACGUGGGUGUUCCCAGCUCAUGCGACCAGUAGGCAAUUGUUGCAAUGUGCCUAGGCACAUACCUUGGGGCACACCAGGCAUGCUGCGCGGGUGUCUCUAUCUCGACAACCGGUAGACCCUCGCGAUGCCGUGUACUUAGGCCAACACCUCGGUGCCCACCAGGCAAACUGCGUGGGUGUGCCUUGCUCACGCAACCCGUAAGCCAUCACGGUGCCGUGUGCUUUGGCGCACACCAUGGAUCCCUAAACCCUUGUUGCGUGGGUGUGCUUAGCUUGUUCAUCCUACAAGCCCUUGAGGCCCCCUGCCUUCAACCGUGGUGUUGCACCCAAGGAUGGAAUGUUGUGCAUUGAGAUGGUAUGGGUAGUGAUGGGGUCAAUUAUAUGCUAGUUUGACCCCCAAUAGGUGUCACUCAGGAAGUCCAAGUGUUUUAAGCCAUCCAACAUACUUGGGAAGGAUGGGCACCUGGUUGAGACGAGGCUGCGGUACGUGAUUUGGGCAAGGCUUGCUGCAAUGUGUGGGUGUGCCCCGCUCUGGCUGACCCAUAGACCCUCGAUGCGCUCUGCCU
rnacentral:lncRNA from 1 species